UAUUACUUCAUUCGUAAAGAUUCUCCUUAGUAAAUUCUUUGGUUAUGUUGUGGACUUUCUUUUUCUCGUACUUUUUUAGGAUUUCUCCCCAUGUAGGGAUGGGUAGUAGAAUACGUUUCCCUACCGCAGCCAGAAGCGUGACGUAAGAGGCGUCUAACUGUGCAAACCAGUUCCUAAGUUCAGAAAAGGGACUAUUCUAGUUUAGAAGUCCUUUUCCAUUUCUCUCUUAACUUUUGUUGUAAUUUAGCUUAUCUCGCCGCAUGAUAACUCUAAAAAUUCCUAAUUUAUUCGUUCAAGUAAAAUGUAGUUAUUAAAAUUAUAAAAUUAGAUGGCCGAUCGGUUUAGUAUAAAUUUAGCAUAAGUAUAUUUCCCGGAUUUGACUUUUACCUCCCCUCAUUGGAUCCCUGAGGAAGGACUCGGACUUUACUCUCACCACUUCCUCAGCGAAGUUGGUCAUUUAAAAGGCUACACUAUUUAGUGCUAGUUCCUUUCCUUCCAUUGUGUAAGGAAAGCUGGUGGUGGUGUGCCAGUCACAAUUGGUUUAUUUGAGUUGUCUCAGUACACUCAUUACAUUUUAUUUCAUUUCCUUCCAUUGUGUAAGGAAAGCUGGUGGUGGUGUGCCAGUCACAAUUGGUUUAUUUGAGUUGUCUCAGUACACUCAUCACAUUUUAUUUCAUUUACUUCCAUUGUGUAAGGAAAGCUGGUGGUGGUGUGCCAGUCACAAUUGGUUUAUUUGAGUUGUCUCAGUACACUCAUUACAUUUUAUUUCAUUUCCUUCCAUUGUGUAAGGAAAGCUGGUGGUGGUGUGCCAGUCACAAUUGGUUUAUUUGAGUUGUCACAGUACACUCAUUCCAUUUCCUUUCUUUUUCGAUAGUCAGUGGUGACAGUACCUAACUGCACUCUAAAUUCCCUUUUAUUUCCAAAUUAGUCAGCGGCGAUGGUGCCUAGCUGCACUACCCCCUUUGUUAGUUAAUAACAAAUUCUUCUUUAACUGUAGGUUAAUUUGGCAUGUAAAGUGAAACUAGUCAGCGGCGUGGGUGCCUAACUGUACUAAUCAUCUCCUCGUUUUGUAUUACCUUAAGUCUCUAAUUAAAUUAAAAUAGUUCAGCACGUCAGCUUAGCAUAAGACAGUGGCAGAGGUGCCUAACUGUAUUAUAAUUCCCUUAACUUAGUAUACUAUAAAUUUUGUUUCUUCAUAAAUAAUAAAAUUUAGUGGUAACCUCGUUUUCGCAUGUUAGUAAUUCCAGACAGUGGCUUUGGGGCUCAACUGUCUCUAAUUGUUAGUUAACUUAAUGCAUUGCAUCUGCACGAGUAGAGUAUAAUUGAUUGGUUAGUUUUCAUUUUACAUCCCUUAAAUUUAAGUUUGUUUAAUUUCAAUUCUCCUAAAAUCAAUGUAGAAGCGGAAUUGAACUGUUGAUAGGUGGUGCUGAGGCCCGUCGUUUCUCACUCUUUCCCUCUUGUACCGUAGAACCAUUAAUAAUAGCAAGUUUUAAAGUUAGUCACAGGAUUUUCAACUUUAGUUUUUCUAUGUCCUAUAAUUACAAUAAUUACUCUUAUAAGUUUACUCUAGUAUUCCGCCCAAAGUAUUCCUUGAUAAACUUUAAGCUCUGCAGUUCAGUUCUAGUCUAGCGGUUAUUUUUGAGUUAGCUUUUGUUUUCUUCCAUAAAAAAUAGUUCCUAUUUUUUAUUUUUCACAGAAAGGGGGUAAUGUAACGUGUCAAUAAGUCACGUCACAUACUAAACACAUAUUUAAUAAAGUUCUCCAUGAGUUAGCCUACAUUUGUUUAGAUUUAUUUCCAAAUUAGAAAAUAUUCCCAAUUCCUGUUUUAUUUACAACCAUUCGCUUGUCACUUUGACGUUUGACAGCGAACUAUUUGAGUUUCGUUGUCUUUGACAGAUUCGGUAACUUUCAUUCCAAUGCCUUUAAAAUUGUCUCAAACGUUUUCAUAUUUGAUAAAUUCUUCUUUUCGUUUAAAUUUCGCAAGUGGUAGUUUUGUUUUAGGAAAAAUAGAUCCGACAAUAUUUGAUAAUAUAUUUAAUAAUAUAUUCGUCAAAAAUUGUUCAAAAUUUAUUACAAUUUUAGCAUUUUGGUUAGCAAAAAUCAUUCUUAUUUCGGAUCUGGUAACAUUUCUUCUUAUCGAUGGUUCGAUGUGAAUUCCGUCUUGUCAUUUUACUGUCAGCUUUCUCAUUGGAAAACAGAUAAAAUUUUGAUCCGAGAAAAUCAUUGUAAAUUUCCAUUAUUUUGGUGAAAUACCGGCAGUGCUUUGUUCCGGAGGUUUGCUCCGUCCCUCAGGAAUGGAUUAGGGGCGAAAAUAAUGCCGCCACGGCAAACCCCGGCAACCUAAUGAAGGGCUAACGUAAGUUUUUCCUCAAUUUCCACAAUCGUCUUUCGGAAAAUGCGAUUCCUUUUAAAUUUUCCGGUUCGACUUUAGCUGACUCGCGCCAUUUUUCUUUUCCAGAUAAGGGGCGUGUUAGCCCUUAUAACCCUUAUAAUCCUUUUAA